rnacentral:rRNA from 1 species
UACGUAGGGUGCGAGCGUUGUCCGGAAUUAUUGGGCGUAAAGGGCUCGUAGGCGGUUCGUCACGUCGGGAGUGAAAACUCGGAGCUUAACUCCGAGCCUGCUUCCGAUACGGGCAGACUAGAGGUAGGCAGGGGAGAGCGGAAUUCCAGGUGUAGCGGUGAAAUGCGUAGAUAUCAAGAGGAACACCUGAGGUGAAGACGGGUUGCUGGGCUGACACUGACGCUGAGGCGCGAAAGCCAGGGGAGCAAACGGG